GUCACACGGUGCAGCUUUUCUUUUACGUUUUGUCCUCGUUCUCUCAGAUCGGAUUCCAGAAUCCCGUUAUUUCCCCCCGUCGGAUGGCAGCUGAACCAAACGCAGAGCAGCACCUGGAGACUGUUUAUCUUCGUCCCGUUCCACAGAAGUCAGAAGUGAUGGAGUCGUCCACAGUGGAGGAUGAAUCAGGAAACCAAAGCGAUGAAGAAAAUCACAGAACCAAGAACCACCUGAGAGGAAAAAAGGACUUACCAGUCGUACCAGAAUCAAACUCUCCGUAAUGAUCUAAUGACGGUACUGGUGCACCAGUAAAACCCCAGAGAAACCCCAGAGAAACCAGUCACCUGCUACUGUGGAGAACACAACCCAAAUUCUCUUUAUACAUGGUCUUCAAAUAAACCGGUCAGUGUCGAGUCCAGGCACAGCGAGACCUACAGUAAAGUCCUUGUGGGUCAGCGGGUCAUGACGUCCUCGUACCGUCUGAAUUUACUUAAAUGUGUUUAUUGUAAUGCACGUCUCCCUCAGUGAUAAAUAAAUAAAUAAAUAACAUUUCACCACA